rnacentral:rRNA from 1 species
GUUGAUAGGCCGGGUGUGGAAGCGCAGCAAUGUGUGAAGCUUACCGGUACUAAUCGCUCGAUCGGCUUGAUCGU